UGGCUGUGAUGACAAACAAACCUCGUUUCUCGAUGCUGAGACUUGAUUUGUUCAAGGACCAGAACUGUGCUGACCUUAAUUUGUGCGUGUCUGAGCCAC
rnacentral:snoRNA from 18 species